rnacentral:rRNA from 1 species
CCUACGGGAGGCAGCAGUGAGGAAUAUUGGUCAAUGGGCGCGAGCCUGAACCAGCCAAGUCGCGUGAGGGAGGACGGCCCUACGGGUUGUAAACCUCUUUUGCCGGGGAGCAACGGGCGCCACGUGUGGCGUCACUGAGAGUACCCGGAGAAAAAGCAUCGGCUAACUCCGUGCCAGCAGCCGCGGUAAUACGGAGGAUGCGAGCGUUAUCCGGAUUUAUUGGGUUUAAAGGGAGCGUAGAUGGGUUGUUAAGUCAGUUGUGAAAGUUUGCGGCUCAACCGUAAAAUUGCAAGUGAUACUGGCAGUCUUGAGUACAGUUGAGGUAGGUGGAAUUCGUGGUGUAGCGGUGAAAUGCUUAGAUAUCACGAAGAACUCCGAUUGCGAAGGCAGCAUACCGGCGCCCGACUGACGCUGAAGCACGAAAGCGUGGGUAUCGAACAGGAUUAGAUACCCGAGUAGUC